rnacentral:rRNA from 1 species
UAGGGAAUCUUCCGCAAUGGACGCAAGUCUGACGGAGCAACGCCGCGUGAGCGAAGAAGGUUUUCGGAUCGUAAAACUCUGUUGUUAGAGAAGAACAAGUGCUAGAGUAACUGUUAGCGCCUUGACGGUAUCUAACCAGAAAGCCACGGCUAACUACGUGCCAGCAGCCGCGGUAAUACGUAGGUGGCAAGCGUUGUCCGGAUUUAUUGGGCGUAAAGCGAGCGCAGGCGGUUCCUUAAGUCUGAUGUGAAAGCCCCCGGCUCAACCGGGGAGGGUCAUUGGAAACUGGGGAACUUGAGUGCAGAAGAGGAGAGUGGAAUUCCAUGUGUAGCGGUGAAAUGCGUAGAUAUAUGGAGGAACACCAGUGGCGAAGGCGACUCUCUGGUCUGUAACUGACGCUGAGGCUCGAAAGCGUGGGUAGCAAACAGGAUUAGAUACCCUGGUAGUCCACGCCGUAAACGAUGAGUGCUAAGUGUUGGAGGGUUUCCGCCCUUCAGUGCUGUAGUUAACGCAUUAAGCACUCCGCCUGGGGAGUACGACCGCAAGGUUG